rnacentral:rRNA from 1 species
UACGUAGGGGGCGAGCGUUGUCCGGAUUUAUUGGGCGUAAAGAGCUCGUAGGCGGCUCGGUAAGUCGGAUGUGAAACCUCCAGGCUCAACCUGGAGACGCCAUCUGAUACUGCCGUGGCUUGAGUCCGGUAGAGGAGCAGGGAAUUCCUGGUGUAGCGGUGAAAUGCGCAGAUAUCGGGAGGAACACCUAUGGCGAAGGCAGCUCGCUGGGACGUUACUGACGCUGAGACGCGAAAGCGUGGGGAGCAAACAGG